UGUGUGUGUGUCUGCGCGCGCGUGCGUGCUUUAUGGCAAGUAGUGAGUUUGACUAAACUCACAUUACAGAUAGAAAUCUUUUAAACUCUAGACUACUCGUGGAUGUAGAAUUCCGGGUCUUACAGGUUAAAAAGUGGCCACCAUAUUUAAGUGACCUAUCACUCUGAGCUUUGCUAAUGAAAAAAAUUCAUCUUCAUUAUUUUCUUCAUUUAUUGGAUUGGAAAAAUGAAUCCAAACAUAGAAGAAAGUGCAAGAUGUUGGGGAAGAGUACUUGUUAAACAGUGGAGUAUCUAACAACUUAUUUGCAAGAAGGUUUAAAGAAUUAAAAUUGUUAUGCUUCGAUAUUGGUAUGCUAUUGACUCUCAUAGGUAGCCCUCCAAAAAACAUUCAGUUUUCCAAAUUAUGGAAAUUUCGUGGAAAACGUUGACUUGGAUUUUGAGCCUCAUCAUGGCUUCAUCGGAAUUUUAUAGUGACCACAGACUUUCAUAUAGUUCUCAAGAGGAAUUCCUGACUUAUCUUGAACACUACCAGCUAACUAUUCCAAUAAGAGUUGAUCAAAAUGGAGCUUUUCUCAGCUUUACUGUGAAAAAUGAUAAACACUCAAGGAGAAGACGGAGUAUGGACCUUCUUGAUCCACAGCAGGCAGUGUCUAAAUUAUUUUUUAAACUUUCAGCCUAUGGCAAGCACUUUCACCUAAACUUGACUCUCAAUACAAAUUUUGUGUCCAAACAUUUUACAGUAGAGUAUUGGGGGAAAGAUGGACCCCAGUGGAAACAUGAUUUUUUAGACAACUGUCACUACACAGGAUACUUGCAAGAUCAACAUAGUACAACUAAAGUGGCUUUAAGCAACUGUGUUGGAUUGCAUGGCAUUAUUGCUACAGAAGAUGAAGAAUACUUUAUUGAGCCUCUAAAGAAUACUACAGAGGAUUCCAAACAUUUUAGUUAUGAAAAUGGCCACCCUCAUGUUAUUUACAAGAAGUCUACUCUUCAGCAACGGCAUAUCUAUGAUCACUCUCACUGCGGGGUUUCAGAUCUCACAGAAAGUGGCAAACCUUGGUGGCUGAAUAAGACAUCUUCUUUUCCUUCUUUGCCACCAAUUAAUGUCACACAUAUUCAUCACAGACAGAGAAGAUCUGUGAGCACUGAGAGAUUUGUGGAGACUCUAGUAGUGGCAGACAAGAUGAUGGUGGGCUACCAUGGCCGUAAAGACAUUGAACAUUAUAUUUUGAGUGUGAUGAAUAUUGUCAGGUUGCCAAACUUUACCGUGACUCCAGUCUAGGAAACGUUGUGAAUAUUAUAGUGGCCCGCUUGAUUGUUCUCACAGAAGAUCAGCCAAACUUGGAGAUAAACCAUCAUGCAGACAAGUCCCUCGAUAGCUUCUGUAAAUGGCAGAAAUCCAUUCUCUCCCACCAAAGUGAUGGAAACACCAUUCCAGAAAAUGGGAUUGCCCACCACGAUAAUGCAGUUCUUAUUACUAGAUAUGAUAUCUGCACUUAUAAAAAUAAGCCCUGUGGAACACUGGGCUUAGCCUCUGUGGCUGGGAUGUGUGAGCCUGAAAGGAGCUGCAGCAUUAACGAAGACAUUGGCCUGGGCUCAGCUUUCACCAUCGCACACGAGAUCGGCCACAAUUUUGGUAUGAACCAUGACGGAAUUGGAAAUUCUUGUGGGACGAAAGGUCAUGAGGCAGCAAAACUUAUGGCAGCUCAUAUCACUGCAAACACCAAUCCCUUUUCCUGGUCUGCCUGCAGCAGAGACUAUAUCACCAGCUUUCUAGAAUUUCUUAAACUCGGUGAUUCAAUAAGUGGUUCAUGAAUCGCCCAGAAGCCGUCCUGAUUAAAUAAUAAAGAACCCAUUUCCGUUAAAAUGGACGUGUUAUGCCAGCUUCUGAUGUUUUCCGAAGACGGCUUUGCAGUUCAGGCCGUGGUACUUGCCUUGAUAAUGAGCCUCCAAAGCGUGACUUUCUUUAUCCAGCUGUGGCUCCAGGUCAGGUGUAUGAUGCUGAUGAACAAUGUCGUUUCCAGUAUGGAGCAACAUCCCGCCAAUGCAAAUACGGGGAAGUGUGUAGAGAGCUCUGGUGCCUCAGCAAAAGCAACCGCUGUGUCACCAACAGUAUUCCAGCUGCUGAGGGGACACUCUGUCAGACUGGGAAUAUUGAGAAAGGGUGGUGUUAUCAGGGAGACUGUGUUCCUUUUGGCACUUGGCCCCAGAGCAUAGAUGGGGGCUGGGGUUCCUGGUCACUGUGGGGCGAGUGCAGCAGGACCUGUGGAGGAGGCGUCUCCUCGUCCCUAAGACACUGUGACAGUCCAGCACCUUCAGGAGGUGGAAAAUAUUGCCUUGGGGAAAGGAAACGCUAUCGCUCUUGCAACACAGAUGUGGAGUCAAACCUUGUGCAUUAAAUUGCCUGGCUGAAGGCUACAAUUUCUACACAGAGCGAGCCCCUGCUGUGAUAGAUGGGACCCAGUGCAAUGCGGACUCACUGGAUAUCUGUAUCAAUGGAGAAUGCAAGCACGUAGGUUGUGAUAAUAUUUUGGGAUCUGAUGCUAGGGAAGAUAGGUGCCGAGUCUGUGGUGGGGAUGGAAGCACCUGUGAUACCAUUGAAGGGUUCUUCAAUGACUCAUUGCCCAGAGGAGGUUAUAUGGAAGUGGUUCAGAUACCAAGAGGCUCUGUUCAUAUUGAAGUGAGAGAAGUUUCCGUGUCAAAAAAUUACAUUGCUUUAAAAUCUGAAGGGGAUGAUUACUAUAUUAAUGGUGCCUGGACUAUUGACUGGCCUAGGAAAUUUGAUGUUUCGGGAACAGCUUUUCACUACAAGAGACCAACAGAUGAACCAGAAUCCUUAGAAGCUCUAGGACCCACCUCUGAGAACCUCAUUGUAAUGGUUCUACUCCAAGAACAGAAUCUGGGAAUUAGGUACAAGUUCAAUGUUCCCAUUGUUCGUACUGGCAGCGGAGAUAAUGAAGUUGGCUUCAUGUGGACUCACCAGCCCUGGGCCGAGUGCUCUGCUACUUGCGCUGGAGAUUUGUUGGUAAAAUACAUCUUGGCACAAUGAGUAUCUCUGCUGGUGCUUCUCCAAGACUAUCUUGAAGUGGCCACCAAUGCAAUUCUUUACCUCUGGCUGGGAGAGCAGGACAGUUGGCUUCCUUCAAAGCCAACACCCUUGCUGCUUCAUGGACUGGUAUCCAAAGACAAGAAGUGGUCUGUAAAAGAUUGGAUGAUAACUCCAUUGUCCAGAACAAUUUCUGUGAUCCUGACAGUAAGCCACCUGAAAAUCAAAGAGCCUGCAACGCUGAGCCUUGCCCACCUGAAUGGUUCAUUGGAGACUGGUUGGAGUGCAGCAAGACUUGUGAUGGUGGGAUGCGCACGAGGGCCGUGCUCUGCAUCAGGAAAGUCGGACCUUCUGAGGAGGAAACACUGGACUACAGUGACUGUUUAACACACCGGCCUGUGGAGAAAGAGUCCUGCAACAACCAGUCAUGUCCCCCGCAGUGGGUAGCCUUGGACUGGUCCGAAUGUACUCCAAAAUGUGGUUCAGGAUUCAAGCAUCGGAUUGUUCUGUGCAAGAGCAGUGACCUUUCUAAAACAUUCCCAGCUGCACAAUGUUCAGAGGAGAGCAAGCCUCCUGCUCGCAUCCGCUGCAGUCUGGGCCGUUGCCCUCCUCCCCGCUGGGUGACAGGAGACUGGGGCCAGUGCUCUGCUCAGUGUGGCCUUGGGCAGCAAAUGCGAACUGUCCAAUGCCUCUCCUACACUGGACAGGCAUCUGUUGACUGUCCAGAAGCUGCUCGGCCUCCAUCCAUGCAGCAGUGUGACAGCAAAUGUGAUAGCACCCCUCUCUCCAGUACUGAAGAGUGCAAAGAUGUGAACAAAGUGGCUUAUUGCCCACUGGUGCUGAAGUUCAAGUUCUGCAGUCGAGCAUACUUCAGACAGAUGUGUUGUAAGACCUGCCAAGGACACUGACCCGCAGAAAGCCAGAGAGUCCUGUCAUUUCAUCGUGGAAAUGCGUCCAUCAAAGAGAGCCACCCAGAGGAAGAGGAUGGAUGUCCUUACAAAAGCAUUACCCUGUGGAAAAUGUAACCACUGGUCAGCACCAGCUGACAGGAUUUCAAUAUUAUUUUAACUUCUGUGAAGUGGGAUUUAUUGAUCCAAAGUGCUGGACACAGUAUCAGGAGGGAAUGCCAGAUCUGAGAGAUCCAAACAACACAGGAAACUCGCUUACUGUGGAACGUUUGUGUUCUUUAGAGUAAAUCUAAUAGCCUGUUUACCUCCUUGGACCAUAAGAUAAUUUUUAUUAUGGACUUAGCAAUGACACUGAAUCCAUUUGUAUUUAAGACUGUUUAAAAUGUAGUUAUUAUGACUUGGUUAACUAUGAAAGUAGAAGAGAUUCAGAAUUCUUAAGUCAUAGCUUAAAAAUAUUUACUACUCUUUAUCACACCACAAUAGCACCACAAUUUAAAUUAUAAAAUGGGCUUUAAACUGUAAUUUAAGAAACAAUUAUAAAUCAAAAGUAAUGAAAAUUUGUAUUAUUUUUCUUUGUCCCACUCAAUUUCCUUAGGAAUAACCCCUGUUCUGAGCACUGCUGUGAGCCAUGUAUAAACUCUAUUAAACAGUGAGGGACUUGGUUUGAAGCUGGGCAGCAAUCGCUGCAGCUGCGCAAGUCUAUAAACUCAGUGCUAAGAGUCUGUGCCCAACUUGCCAUUGUGCAAGGGAAGCUGAGAUUCCCAUUAAAAUUUUAAGAGAAAAACAUUUCGGUUUCAUGCAGAAGCCAGACCUAGGGUACGGCAGAGACUGAAGCACCAGGCCCUUGGCAGCCAUCACGUGGGAUGCCUUAUUUGAAUCACCCAGUCUCCUUAGUGUUUACAUCCCCACCAGCCACAGAACAGCUUCUGCCCUGCUGCGCUGUUGCAUGCAUGGUAAGCUUAUGGAGAUGAUGCCAUGCGAAAGAUAAGCUGGCUUAGUAAGAGCCAGGCAGGCCCUUUUUCCAUUGGCUGACAAUAUGAUGGGUUCCAGAUGUCCCUUCUUUGAUAUGGUAGAAGGGCAUUUAUUUAUAUGAGAGCAAGUGUAUACGUGUGUGUAUGUGUGUGUGUUCACACUCACUCAGACACUCCUGAGUGGGGGAACAGGUGAGUUUGCUUGCAUAUAAAUGUGCUGUUUCUGUGAGUUUUAAAGUAGGGAAGGAUAACAACCAAAGAAGAAAAGCUCCAUGAAGAGAGAUCACAAACUAUAAGUUUAAAAGUCACUUGACCACAUAAUUUUUACAGAUAUUCUAAAUGGCAAUUAAAUGUGAAACCCAGUUUUCUGGGUGAGUCAGGUUCUAACAAUCAUAUCUUACUGAACUGAAAUGACCAGCUUAGGUCUUCCCACCUUCAAGCUUCACAAGUUGCCAUCAAAAGAUUCAACAACUAGACUUUUAAGGGUACUUGUUUAUGUUAAUACUUCGUACUUGAACACUUGUAGCUUGUAGUAGGUUGUUGGUGAGUGUGCUUUGUGUCAAGCACGCCUCCUUAGUCCCUCUUACACAUAGCCCCAUACACACAGCAUCAUCUAAAUCACAAAUUAGAUGGCUACUUGGUAACAAAGAGAAUAUUUUCAUUUAAGAGCAUGUCUCACUUAUCUACCACUGUGCUCUGAAGAUAGAUUUUGGUGUGUCACCUAUGUGGUGACCUUAGAAAGGCUGUCACCAAAGGCCUCCUCAGCUUCUUGCUUGCUAUGUACAGUUGGCCUGGAUGUUAGCCCACACUCCAUUGUGACCAGCCAUAUCUCAUCCCCUGCUUCUUUCUCGGUUAUCAUUCCCAAGUUUUCCAGAGGAGGCUAUCAGUGAUACAAAGCAUAUGGCCACGACCUCCAUCUAACUGCCCUGAGAAGACCAGCCUUAAGUGCCACCCCAGCCAUUCCACUAAGGAAAGCCACCCAUGGGAGCCUGGCCCAGACUUGAAUCACUUGGUCCUUUUCAAAGGACAGUUAACUUGGUGCUAAUGUGCCCUGGUAAAAUAUAGGAAGACUGGGCGAUCGCUAAGGCAGUUUACACAUAGGCUUGCUAUCCAGAUUUGAUUUUUUUUUUUUGUACCAACAUUAAUAUUAAAUCAUGCUUAUAUUCCAAGAAGAUUUCCUACAAUACUUGUAAAAAGCUGUAUUUACCUCAUUUGGAAGCUAACAUCGAAAGGGCUGACCCCCCAGAUAACUGUGCAGUGCCUGCCUCUGCUACUGAUAGGGUAAGAGCUCAGCCUGUGCUCUCUCCAGGAAGUGCACUGGCGCUGCGGACAGGCUACUGCCAAGGGGCAGCACAUGGUUCCCUUCCAUGGGGAAACGAAGCAUGGAUAUAACAGGAUUCAACAUUCUCAAGUAGACCCUGAAUUUAAACCUGAGCAGGUUACACAAAAUGAACAGCAUCUUCCGUAACACAUCACAAUGCCACUGCUACUGCUGUCAUCUCUGCCCUCCAUGGUAAAAGUGGGAUGAGCAGCAGAGGCUGGGCUACCCUGGCAGGCACUCCAAAUGUUGUGAGCUAUAUUGACUACUUAGGGUACCAGGGUACCCGUGGCUAGGAGCAGUGUCUGCCACUGGUAUAAAGGCCUACCAAAAUAGGAAUGUUAAAUAUACCCAAAUGAUUGAACCCCUAAAGGCAGGUAUGAUUUCCCAAUAGUCCAUUUCAUUAGGAAUUUAUGUAUUUGAGUGAAUGUCUUAUAGGUAUCGUUAAUAAUACAGGACAAAAUUACCUUUGUAUUAUUGUGAUUAGUUGUUGCUUAUUAUUUUAUACUCAGUAUUAAUGUGGUACACUGUUACUAUUUUUGCUUUUGUAAAUUAUAUUCUAAUUUAUUGCCAUGUUUCCUAACACCUGUCCUUUAUUCAUUCUCCUGCUCGUAAUGAAAAUGAAAGUCAUUUGUAACACUUGAUGGAGUGAAAUUUCAUACCAGGCACAGAUGUUUUUUAACAUAGAUAAUUCAGUAAAUAAUAAAAACUUCAGCUUGUAAGAA